AAAGCAAGCACUACACCACCAGCUAAGCACACGUCCAAUCAGCAGUGUGCAUGCCAAGUUCCAAAGCAAACAGGGAGACUGAAAGACGUCUCACUGUUGCACUUUGCACGAACCGAAAGAUGUGAGAUUCCCAGUUUCCCCACAACCCAGAUCAUCGCCAAGACACUAGCACAGUGCAGGCCACCACACCAUCAGCGUUAGAUGGAUCAGGAUCACACACAAAUCAUAUCCAGUAGGAAAAAAAAGAGAGAGAUGGAAUUAAAAUUAAAGGUAGCAAAAAAAAGAAGAAACCCAGAUC
rnacentral:lncRNA from 1 species